rnacentral:rRNA from 1 species
UACGGAGGGUGCAAGCGUUGUUCGGAUUUAUUGGGUGUAAAGGGCGUGUAGGCGGUUCGUUAAGUCUGAUGUGAAAGCCCCGGGCUCAACCCGGGAAGUGCAUUGGAAACUGGCGAACUUGAGUACGGGAGAGGGCAGUGGAAUUCCUAGUGUAGGAGUGAAAUCCGUAGAUAUUAGGAGGAACACCGGUGGCGAAGGCGGCUGCCUGGACCGAUACUGACGCUGAGACGCGAAAGCGUGGGGAGCAAACAGG